UUAGCUUUUCACAUACAAUUUUAUGUACGCUCAUUCUCAUGUAGGUAUAUUAGCUGAAUGAAAACAGAUCAGAUAAAAACA